GAGUAUGAAAAUGUUUUAAAAAAUAAAACAGUCAUGUGAGCAGUGUUAUUUCUUAUGUGCUAUACAAAGAGUUGAAGGUUAAUUAGCAGUAUAACUAUAAACAGCAAUGCUGACAGUCUCCUUCAGACAAGA